UACGAAGGGGGCUAGCGUUGUUCGGAAUCACUGGGCGUAAAGCGCGCGCAGGCGGUCUUCCAAGUCAGUGGUGAAAGCCCGGAGCUCAACUCCGGAACUGCCAUUGAAACUGUAAGACUUGAGGAUGAGAGAGGUGAGUGGAAUUCCCAGUGUAGAGGUGAAAUUCGUAGAUAUUGGGAAGAACACCGGUGGCGAAGGCGGCUCACUGGCUCAUUACUGACGCUCAGGCGCGACAGCGUGGGGAUCAAACAGG
rnacentral:rRNA from 1 species